rnacentral:tRNA from 1 species
CGCGGGGUAGAGCAGUUGGCAGCUCGUCGGGCUCAUAACCCGGAGGUCGCAGGUUCAAAUCCUGCCCCCGCAACCA